AAAAGAACUACACUCGCGCUGUCCCGUCUCCAUAUCCGCUCUUAUCCAACUUUUCCUUAAAAUCAUGAAUGUUUCUUGCACAAACCACCUCCUCCCCCAGUCAAUGCAUGUGUGUGUGUGUGUGUGUGUGUGUGUGUGUGUGUGUGUGGUGGUAAAAUAAUUAAAAUACAAGUCACCCACAACUAGAACAACUACAUUAUUCUUUACCAGGAUAAAAAUCAACUACUACACAGAUAUGACGUGUCCAGAACCGAAGAUCGUCCGCGCCAAAAAUGAGUUUCGAGAUAACCAAGCUUUGUUUCCCAGCUUUGUUUUUAUUACUAUGUUGCUUUGUUUUGAUCCCUCAGUACACUCUCCAGAUGGUCCAUUUUCCCUCGGCUACCUAUACUGUUUGAUAGAGGAAGGUUAUGCCUGUAUGACACGACCCAGGACUCAAAACUGUCAAAAUGGUGUAGAUGUCCCUUUGGUUCUGGACGCAUUAUAUCCUGCCCACCUCUCAUAACACCAGAAAAUACUUCCCCUAACACCCCCAGACACAUCCACACUCACUAAGCACCAAUGUAAUGCAAGUUUCCUCUAUGUAGUUUGUGAUCAAGUACAGGGGAUGGGAGGGAGCUCUUAUACAAGGUAGGAUGAGCAGAGGAAUACAGGAAUUGGGAGGGACUUAUAAACGAAGCUUGAAUGAACAGAGAUUGAUCUGGAAAAAGGAAUGGGAGGGAGCUCUUAAACAAGGCUGGAUGAACAGGGAAAUUGGCAAAGUACAGGGAUUGGGAGGGACAUAAAUGAAGCUUGAAUGAACAGAGAGAUUGAUUUGGAAAAGGGAAUGGGAGGGACAUAAAUGAAGCUUGAAUGAACAGAGAUUGAUCUGGAAAAGGGAAUGGGAGGGAGCUCUUAAACAAAGCUUGGAUGAACACAGCAAUUGAUCCCCUACCCCAGUUUGAGAACCCUUGACGAGAGAGUACCGGAAGUCUCGGAGGUGAUGGGAAGAACAAGAUAUCGUUUGGAAGAGGUGUGAUACUGAAUGUUACCUUUAUCCUUUCGACUACAAUGAUAGGAGAUGCAUAAUACUGUCCUUCAUCCACUCAAGCACUGCAAUAAAGAGUAAGAAUAAAGUUUGUGAAAGAGUGGAGGAGUGACAUCCAUCCAUCUUGAACACAACAUACUUUCCUGAUUUUUUCCUCUUCAACCCAACACAAGACCAAGAGUAAGAUGAGAAGUGUGAGUGAUACAGACUGUCUUCCUCUUUACACAAUACAAGACCAGGAAAAGGUGAGAAACAGUGCUGGAGUGGCAGAGACGUCCAUCCUCUUCAACACAAUACGAGUUCAGAAGUAAGGUUGGAAGAAUAAUGGCAGACUGUCUUCCUCUUAAACAAAACACAUGACCAAGAGUAAGAACAUAUGAUAGAGUGAUGCCGACUUCCUUCCUCUUAACCCGGUAGCAGCGACGGGCCAAGUAUGUGGCUUCACCGUGUAGCAGCGACGGGCCAAAUUUGUGCCAUGAUAUAACCCCCCCCAAAAUAGAUGAUACAUAAACUGAUCACAAAUGCUUUGAUAUACAUUAUGAAAUGGUUUGUGUGAGGGGUGAUUUUGUCUCAUUUUUCUCGCUUGGAGGGAUCCUUGGUGCUACUACCGGGUUAAAGGCAAUGAAAGACAGAGUAGGGUUAGAAUAGAGUGAUACAGACCUCCUUCCUCUUUACACAAUACAAGAACAAAAUUAAGGUCAGAAUAGAGAGUGGCACAGUGAGUGGCGUCCCUGCUUACUACUUCUUUUCUUCUUCUUUCUACUAUAAUUAAUAUCACUUUCUCUCUCUCAUCUUCCUCCACUACCUGGCUUUAUUACAAGGCUUUACACUGUUCAUCUCCUUCUUACUAAAAUCAUCCCAUCCUGCCUCCCUGCUUUGUACUCCUAUGAAAAAGCAUCACACUCUAUUCUUUGCCAACUUUACCUGUACUAAUACUCUUCCCCUCUCCUCUAGGCCUAUGCAAAACCCAUCUCAUCCCCUUUCCUCAGUGGUGUUACUAGAGGGGAUGUAUUUCAAGCUUUCCGUUACUAAGAUGUCAAAAACCAGCAGCUUCUCUCUAAAUCCCAUAAACUUCACAUCCAAAUAUUUUCCUCUUGGUCUGUUUGCUGCGUUUUCCUCCCCUUCUUAACCUUCCCUCAUCAAUGUUAAUGCUGUCUUUCCUUCUUCCUUCCUUCUUUCCUUCUUCUCAAAAUCCCAUAAACUUCACAUCCAAAUAUUUUUCCUCUUGGUCUGUUUGCUGCGUUUUCCUCCCCUUCUUAACCUUCCCUCAUCAAUGUUAACGCUGUCUUUCCUUCUUCUUCCUUCCCCUUUAUUCCUUAUUAACCUCCUCCUCUUC